GGUGAACGCUGGCGGCGUGCCUAACACAUGCAAGUCGAGCGGUGCAGUUUGAAGCUUCGGUGGAAAGCUGCAUAGCGGCGGACGGGUGAGGAAAACGUAGGAACGUGCCCCUUGGAGUUGGAUAGCCACGGGAAACUGUGGGUAAACCGACAUAGACUCGAGAGAGUAAAGGCCGAAAGGCGCCAAGGGAGCGGCCUGCGGCCCAUCAGGUAGUUGGUAGUGUAAAGGACUACCAAGCCCGACGACGGGUAGCCGGUCUGAGAGGAUGGCCGGCCACAAGGGCACUGAGAGACGGGCCCUACUCCUACGGGAGGCAGCAGUGGGGGAUUUUGGACAAUGGGCGAAAGCCUGAUCCAGCGACGCCGCGUGGAGGACGAAGCCCUUCGGGUGUAAACCCUUUUCUCAGGAAAAGGAUAGAUGGUACCUGAGGAAUAAGCCCGGCUAACUACGUGCCAGCAGCCCGGGUAAACACGAGAGUA
rnacentral:rRNA from 1 species